rnacentral:lncRNA from 1 species
CCUCGAGAGGUGUAUGCAAAUGCCCUACACAAUUUAGGGCUAAUGGAGAGAGUUCACUAGUGCUUAACAUGACGCUUGUUCAGAUGCUUGAGGAGUGAGAUGAGGCUUGUUGAGAUGCUUGAGGAGUGAGAUGAGGCUUGUUCAGAUGCUUGAGAUGAGGCUUGUUGAGAUGCUUGAGGAGUGAGAUGAGGCUUGUUGAGAUGCUUGAGGAGUGAGAU